GGGGAUGUUACGGAUUCGACAGGCAUUGUUUGAGCUUGAAGUGCGCUUUGUAGGUUACGACUACAUUAAAACGUUCAGUUAAAUAUAACUGCUAAAAAUAAUAACAACAAUUUCGCUUUAGCUGCGUAAAAACAGUUAACGAAGAUCCUCUUGGCAUCGCCCAUGUGCUCAAGUAAGGGUCUCAAAUUUAGUGGGAUACGCUUUGACUUUCCGUCUGUAAGUCACUGAAGAGAUCAUCAGACUAGCAAUAUAAACAGCUUGUCACUCAGCGGUUUAUAACGCGAAUCUUUUAAAUUGAGGCGACUAUGAGCGUAGAACUUUGAGUAGCGAAAUGUUUGGACGCGGGUUCGACUCCCGCCAUCUCCAU
rnacentral:tmRNA from 1 species